AACACAAGAUCAAUGGAUUCAGAUACAAACAUUUGUUCCAUAGGAAUCUGUCCCUGCUUUGAAACUGGUAUGGUUUGAAAUACCAUUGGUAGCAGAUAUUGUCCUCUU